UACGUAGGGGGCAAGCGUUGUCCGGAAUCAUUGGGCGUAAAGAGCGUGUAGGCGGCUUGAUAAGUCCGCUGUGAAAGUCCAGGGCUCAACCCUGGAAUGCCGGUGGAAACUGUCAAGCUUGAGUCCGGAAGAGGCGAGUGGAAUUCCUGGUGUAGCGGUGAAAUGCGCAGAUAUCAGGAGGAACACCAAUGGCGAAGGCAGCUCGCUGGGACGGUACUGACGCUGAGACGCGAAAGCGUGGGAGC
rnacentral:rRNA from 1 species